rnacentral:rRNA from 1 species
CCUACGGGACGCAGCAGUAAGGGAUAUUGGUCAAUGGGGGAAACCCUGAACCAGCAACGCCGCGUGAGGGAAGACGGUUUUCGGAUUGUAAACCUCUGUCCUCUGUGAAGAUGGUGACGGUAGCAGAGGAGGAAGCUCCGGCUAACUACGUGCCAGCAGCCGCGGUAAUACGUAGGGGGCAAGCGUUAUCCGGAUUUACUGGGUGUAAAGGGAGCGCAGACGGUGAGACAAGUCUGAAGUGAAAGCCCGGGGCUCAACCCCGGGACUGCUUUGGAAACUGCCUGACUGGAGUGCUGGAGAGGCAA